UUUUUCUUUAUAAAUUUUUAAAACCUUUUUUUGUGGGGGGGAGGGGGAAUGCCAGGAUCCCUUUAUCUCUUGCACUGCUGUUCGUUGCAUAAGCGCCGGGACACUGUCAGUUUGGGAUGACUUAGAUUUUUCAUAGACAAGGUUAAGACCAGAGCAAGGGAUUAUGGGAUAUUCCAGUGAGGUGUGGGAUCUAGAGACUCUGCAUGGAUGCGGUUGGAUACUUGGCUGCUUGUGGGGGGUUGGGAUGAGCCUGUAUCUGUACCUGCACCUGAAUCUGAGUGUGGGCAAGUUGAGGUGAAUGCAGAUGCUCUCAGGGGCCAGGAAAGGGUGGCAGAGUCACUGAUGCUGGGGUUAAAGGCGGUUAAAGGUGAGCCACCUCGGGUUGGUGUGGGAACUGAAUCCCAGCCCUCCACAGAGGCAGCACCUACUCUUCCCUGCUGACUCAUUUCUCCUGCCCCUGGACUCCCAGUGAGUGACAUUUUGGGGAAACAAAGUCAGCAGCAUGCCUGUGCUUCUGAAGGAAACCACAGAGGCAUUUAUUUGGUCCCUUGCCCCAGAAAACACCUCCCUCCACUGUCACACCAACCCAUGAGGCUUCCAUGAUCCCUGGUCCCUGUGACUGCUCCCUCUGAAGGGAACUAGAGCACCCUCUAGGGGCCAUGUUCCCCAUGUCCUGAUGAGAGAUACCCGGAGAAACUGUCUAGACACCAGGGAGGGGCUUGGGGCUGCUGGGCACUCAGGAUGGGGGACACAACACUGGGACUCGGCCUGUUUCCCACUACCAUCUCUGACUCAACGCACCUUGACUCAAAUCUUGGAAGAGACUUUUGAAACUGCCUAGAUUUAAUGCGCCUGUAACAUUAUAGUUAUACAUGUUACAUAAUAUCAAUGUAUUGUGUGUUUAACCUUUAUACGUCUGAAUACAUUUGAUAUCACCCAGUACCACACUUUGCUGUCUUUUGUUUGAGACAGGAUCUUGUCACCCAGCCCGGCAGGAUCGGCUUAAUAGGAGAGAGCCAAGCACAGUCCAUGCUGAAGGGGAAGACACUGUAGCUGGUGCCUUUGUGCUGCUAUUAGUGAGAGUUUGUGACCUUGAACUCUGCAAUCCUCCUGCCUUGGGUUCCUGAGGGCUAGGAUCUCAGGCACAAGCCACCACCCCUGGCGGGUAUCACAGCCUUUGAUCCAGUAUGCUUAUGUCCACACAUUGUGGACAAGCGGCUGUGUAUAGUUAUGGGAGCUUUGCUUGGGAAUCAGACUGAGCGAGUUUACAUCUCCACCCCACAGACACUAUGGGUUGCUGGGCAGGUUCCUUGGUGUCUCUGUGCCUCAGUUUGGUCACUUAAUACAAAUGGGCAUAACAAAGUAUCUAACAGAUUGACCGGCAUAGGAGCCGGCAAAUAAGCAUCCCAGGGAAAGUGUUAAUUAUUAUUACAAACCAAUUGUACAGCCAAAUCAUCACAGCCAUUUCCAGGAAGGAUUUCUCACACAGACUCACUAAAAAUUCAAGGCUCAAAUUUCCAGUUCUUAGCGAUGAGGGCACCUUAAAUUUUCCAGAAAUUUCCAUGAAGGAAAUCGCCUCAGAUUCUAGUAAACAUGGACUGCUCUGAGGCCAGUCAGCCUUCCGGGGAGGUCUGCUGUAAAAUGUUCCUUGUGCCUUCCUUACACCGGCUCCCUGCUUCAGAUGCGGGAUGUUUCCAAUUCUAACAGCAUUGACAAACACGGGUAGGUAGCACCUGGGCGUAGCCUGGCUCGUGAGGGAAGCUCUCGGUUUGCUCAGGAGACAGCUGAGCAUCUGUCCCGAGGCUGCUGGUCUUGAGGCCUCCCUCUUUCAGGUGCGAAGAUACCAUUGUCGCCCUACCCACAUCCUUCCUUUGUAGAGUCUUAAUCUCCUGGUUUCAAGUGGUCAUGUGACUUAGAUGCAGCCAAUCACAACGUACCUUUGACUUUGGUAAUUGGUGAAUGGGUGACCAUGUGACCUGAUUAGGUCCAAUGAUAGACCAUCUGACUAAGGUGACCCACAUUCAAUCUCCAGUACUGUGAAACAGCACAUUAAUUUCCCCCUACCCUAAGGAACCAAAAGGAACAUAGAAAGAUCAUUUAGUGAGUGGGCAAGCACAGUUUCAUCUGGUCGUCCCCCCAGAACCCUUGUGUGAGUCAAUCAUAUGAGAUAGCGCAUGUCAAUCAUAUGAACCAGUUGACCCCACCCCCUCUCUUAUUCCAUUUAAGGGGAUUUUUAACUAUUUAGCAAGGGGGAGAAAAUCUUGAUCCAGAAUACAAGGCUUAAGCCCACAGCCAUAAAGAUGGGCCCUGUCUCAAACCUUUCAGGCUGAACUCCUCCCCCACCCAGCUGCCACGAGAUUCCCAUCUAAAGAUAGAGCUGGAGCCCACGUGUUUGCUGCACCCGAAGCCUCUUGGCUGUGUGGGAAGUGCUACCUCAGCACAGGGUCCCCAUCAACACUCCUUCCUGGUGUCUGAGACGCUGUGGCUUCCUCAGCCUUAUCUCCUAUCAGCGGCAACACUUCAUCACGCUGACACCCGGAUACGAGGAAUGAGUAAAAGUGAAGCGAGCAAGGUCAUGGAGAAGUUAACCCGAGGGAUCGCAGCACAGAAGCCACCCUUCCGUGGCCCUGAAAGGUCUGGAAAGUGGUGCGAACGUCUCUGAGCCGAGCGCCCCUUGGCAGCGCACCCUGACAGCCCUAAAGACUGACGUCGAAACAGUUAAACGUGCAACUGUCAACAAGGCCCUGUCUUAAUAACCAAACUUGAGGCCUUUUAUCCCGGAAGAUUUAUGAAGUAAUUUUAAAGAGAUCCAAGCAAACAUCUGUCAAUAAAUUGAAUGCCGGCUACAGGAUUUACAAGCAAGACAAGAAUUUCUCAUUAAGUGCACAUUAACACGAUGCAGAUCAUAAAUAGGAGGCCAAGACGCCAAGCCUCUCAAGCUGUCAUUAAAACACUCUCUUAAGAGCCAAUGAGGAAGCACUACAAUGGGCUGCUGAUGCCCUAGGUUCCCGCCAUCCUGGAAAGGGAAGUUCACAAGUCAGAGACCUCUGGAGGCUGCUGCUGGCUCCUUCGGCUCCUUGGAGCUCAGCUCAUUGGCCGUGAGAACUUCCGAACUGCUCUUUUAGUAUCUGGAGGUACCCAUGGGUCCAUUACACCCGGUGUUGAGGUGGAAUGAUGCUCUUAGAAUACCCUUCACCCUGACUUUCAGGGAUUUGACAGCCAUACGACCUCCGCCAUAGAAUAUGCUACAUUAAGUUACAUUCCAGAAAUUUCUCCUCCACUGGACCACAGCUUGGUUCUCUGACAGGCAAGAAUUAGAGAAUGGCCUCCAGCUAAAUCGUGGGGAGUCCCCGAGGAACAAACCCUUGGAGAGGGGAAUCAUUGAAGAAGAAAAUGAAGAUGACAAGGAGGGCUGCUUCUUAAUAAACAUGAUCGCCCUGUCA